rnacentral:rRNA from 1 species
GUAAGGUUAAGCCUCACGGUUCAUUAGUACCGGUUAGCUCAACGCAUCGCUGCGCUUACACACCCGGCCUAUCAACGUCGUCGUCUUCAACGUUCCUUCAGGAGACUUAAAGUCUCAGGGAGAACUCAUCUCGGGGCAAGUUUCGUGCUUAGAUGCUUUCAGCACUUAUCUCUUCCGCAUUUAGCUACCGGGCAGUGCCAUUGGCAUGACAACCCGAACACCAGUGAUGCGUCCACUCCGGUCCUCUCGUACUAGGAGCAGCCCCCCUCAAUUCUCCAGCGCCCACGGCAGAUAGGGACCGAACUGUCUCACGACGUUCUAAACCCAGCUCGCGUACCACUUUAAAUGGCGAACAGCCAUACCCUUGGGACCUACUUCAGCCCCAGGAUGUGAUGAGCCGACAUCGAGGUGCCAAACACCGCCGUCGAUAUGAACUCUUGGGCGGUAUCAGCCUGUUAUCCCCGGAGUACCUUUUAUCCGUUGAGCGAUGGCCCUUCCAUUCAGAACCACCGGAUCACUAUGACCUGCUUUCGCACCUGCUCGCGCCGUCACGCUCGCAGUCAAGCUAGCUUAUGCCAUUGCACUAACCUCCUGAUGUCCGACCAGGAUUAGCUAACCUUCGUGCUCCUCCGUUACGCUUUGGGAGGAGACCGCCCCAGUCAAACUACCCACCAGACACUGUCCGCAACCCCGGUAAGGGGCCAACGUUAGAACAUCAAACAUUAAAGGGUGGUAUUUCAAGGUUGGCUCCACGCAGACUGGCGUCCACGCUUCAAAGCCUCCCACCUAUCCUACACAUCAAGGCUCAAUGUUCAGUGUCAAGCUAUAGUAAAGGUUCACGGGGUCUUUCCGUCUUGCCGCGGGUACACUGCAUCUUCACAGCGAGUUCAAUUUCACUGAGUCUCGGGUGGAGACAGCCUGGCCAUCAUUACGCCAUUCGUGCAGGUCGGAACUUACCCGACAAGGAAUUUCGCUACCUUAGGACCGUUAUAGUUACGGCCGCCGUUUACCGGGGCUUCGAUCAAGAGCUUCUCCUUACGGAUAACCCCAUCAAUUAACCUUCCGGCACCGGGCAGGCGUCACACCGUAUACGUCCACUUUCGUGUUUGCACAGUGCUGUGUUUUUAAUAAACAGUUGCAGCCAGCUGGUAUCUUCGACUGGUCUCAGCUCCAUCCGCAGGGACUUCACCUACACACCAGCGUGCCUUCUCCCGAAGUUACGGCACCAUUUUGCCUAGUUCCUUCACCCGAGUUCUCUCAAGCGCCUUGGUAUUCUCUACCUGACCACCUGUGUCGGUUUGGGGUACGAUUUGAUGUUACCUGAUGCUUAGAGGCUUUUCCUGGAAGCAGGGCAUUUGUUACUUCAGCACCGUAGUGCCUCGUCAUCACACCUCAGCCUUGAUUAUCCGGAUUUGCCUGGACAACCAGCCUACAUGCUUAAACCGGGACAACCGUCGCCCGGCUAACAUAGCCUUCUCCGUCCCCCCUUCGCAGUAACACCAAGUACAGGAAUAUUAACCUGUUUCCCAUCGACUACGCCUUUCGGCCUCGCCUUAGGGGUCGACUCACCCUGCCCCGAUUAACGUUGGACAGGAACCCUUGGUCUUCCGGCGAGCGGGCUUUUCACCCGCUUUAUCGUUACUUAUGUCAGCAUUCGCACUUCUGAUACCUCCAGCAUGCCUCACAGCACACCUUCGCAGGCUUACAGAACGCUCCCCUACCCAACAACACAUAGUGUCGCUGCCGCAGCUUCGGUGCAUGGUUUAGCCCCGUUACAUCUUCCGCGCAGGCCGACUCGACCAGUGAGCUAUUACGCUUUCUUUAAAUGAUGGCUGCUUCUAAGCCAACAUCCUGGCUGUCUGUGCCUUCCCACAUCGUUUCCCACUUAACCAUGACUUUGGGACCUUAGCUGGCGGUCUGGGUUGUUUCCCUCUUCACGACGGACGUUAGCACCCGCCGUGUGUCUCCCGUGAUAACAUUCUUCGGUAUUCGUAGUUUGCAUCGGGUUGGUAAGUCGGGAUGACCCCCUAGCCGAAACAGUGCUCUACCCCCGAAGAUGAAUUCACGAGGCGCUACCUAAAUAGCUUUCGGGGAGAACCAGCUAUCUCCCGGUUUGAUUGGCCUUUCACCCCCAGCCACAAGUCAUCCGCUAAUUUUUCAACAUUAGUCGGUUCGGUCCUCCAGUUAGUGUUACCCAACCUUCAACCUGCCCAUGGCUAGAUCACCGGGUUUCGGGUCUAUACCCUGCAACUUAACGCCCAGUUAAGACUCGGUUUCCCUGCGGCUCCCCUAUACGGUUAACCUUGCUACAGAAUAUAAGUCGCUGACCCAUUAUACAAAAGGUACGCAGUCACACCCGAAGGUGCUCCCACUGCUUGUACGUACACGGUUUCAGGUUCUUUUUCACUCCCCUCGCCGGGGUUCUUUUCGCCUUUCCCUCACGGUACUGGUUCACUAUCGGUCAGUCAGGAGUAUUUAGCCUUGGAGGAUGGUCCCCCCAUAUUCAGACAGGAUACCACGUGUCCCGCCCUACUCUUCGAGUUCACAGCCUGUGCAUUUUGGUGUACGGGACUAUCACCCUGUACCGUCGGACUUUCCAGACCGUUCCACUAACACACAAGCUGAUUCAGACUCUGGGCUGCUCCCCGUUCGCUCGCCGCUACUGGGGGAAUCUCGGUUGAUUUCUUUUCCUCGGGGUACUUAGAUGUUUCAGUUCCCCCGGUUCGCCUCGUUAACCUAUGUAUUCAGUUAACGAUAGUGCAACGAAUUGCACUGGGUUUCCCCAUUCGGACAUCGCCGGCUGUAACGGUUCAUAUCACCUUACCGACGCUUUUCGCAGAUUAGCACGUCCUUCAUCGCCUCUGACUGCCAGGGCAUCCACCGUGUACGCUUAGUCGCUUAACC